GACGAACGCUGGCGGCGUGCUUAACACAUGCAAGUCGAACGGAAAGACCCUGCUUUUGUGGGGUGCUCGAGUGGCGAACGGGUGAGUAACACGUGAGUAACCUGCCCUUGACUUUGGGAUAACUUCAGGAAACUGGGGCUAAUACCGGAUAGGAGCUCCUGCUGCAUGGUGGGGGUUGGAAAGUUUCGGCGGUUGGGGAUGGACUCGCGGCUUAUCAGCUUGUUGGUGGGGUAGUGGCUUACCAAGGCUUUGACGGGUAGCCGGCCUGAGAGGGUGACCGGCCACAUUGGGACUGAGAUACGGCCCAGACUCCUACGGGAGGCAGCAGUGGGGAAUAUUGCAAAAUGGGCGGAAGCCUGAUGCAGCAACGCCGCGUGCGGGAUGACGGCCUUCGGGUUGUAAACCGCUUUCGCCUGUGACGAAGCGUGAGUGACGGUAAUGGGUAAAGAAGCACCGGCUAACUACGUG
rnacentral:rRNA from 1 species